rnacentral:rRNA from 1 species
CGGACGGGUGAGUAAUGUCUGGGAAACUGCCUGAUGGAGGGGGAUAACUACUGGAAACGGUAGCUAAUACCGCAUAACGUCGCAAGACCAAAGAGGGGGACCUUCGGGCCUCUUGCCAUCGGAUGUGCCCAGAUGGGAUUAGCUAGUAGGUGGGGUAAAGGCUCACCCAGGCGACGAUCCCUAGCUGGUCUGAGAGGAUGACCAGCCACACUGGAACUGAGACACGGUCCAG